rnacentral:rRNA from 1 species
GAUGAACGCUGGCGGCGUGCCUAAUACAUGCAAGUCGAGCGAACGGACGAGAAGCUUGCUUCUCUGAUGUUAGCGGCGGACGGGUGAGUAACACGUGGAUAACCUACCUAUAAGACUGGGAUAACUUCGGGAAACCGGAGCUAAUACCGGAUGAUAUUUUGAACCGCAUGGUUCAAAAGUGAAAGACGGUCUUGCUGUCACUUAUAGAUGGAUCCGCGCUGCAUUAGCUAGUUGGUAAGGUAACGGCUUACCAAGGCAACGAUGCAUAGCCGACCUGAGAGGGGGAUCGGCCACCCUGGAACGUGGCCACGGUCCAGACUCCUACGGGAGGCAGCAGUAGGGAAUCUUCCGCAAUGGGCGAAAGCCUGACGGAGCAACGCCGCGUGAGUGAUGAAGGUCUUCGGAUCGUAAAACUCUGUUAUUAGGGAAGAACAUAUGUGUAAGUAACUGUGCACAUCUUGACGGUACCUAAUCAGAAAGCCACGGCUAACUACGUG